rnacentral:rRNA from 1 species
AUGUCCCUUUGAUUUUAAUUUAAGGUCUGAUCUGCUCAAUGAUGAUUUAAAUUGCCGCAGUAUUUUGACUGUGCAAAGGUAGCAUAAUAAUUAGCUUCUUGAUUAGAAGCUGGAAUGAAUGAUUGGACGAGAAAAUUUCUGUCUCUAUUUAAUUGUUUGUUGAAUUUUAUUUUUAAGUUAAAAAGCUUAAAUGUGUGUAAAAGACGAGAAGACCCUAUAGAGUUUAAUAUUUAAAUUUUAUUUUAUAUUAGGAUUUUUUUUGAGAUUUGAGUAUUUAAUUGGGGUGAUUUAAAGAUUUAAAUAAUUCUUUAAUUUUUUAAUUGAUGAUAAUUAAAUUAUAAACCUAUAGUUUUAAUUUUAAUAUAAAUUACCUUAGGGAUAACAGCGUAAUUUUUCUUUAAAGUUUUUAUUAAAAGAAGAUUUUGCGACCUCGAUGUUGGAUUAAAAUUAAUUUUUGGUGCAGUAACUUAAAAAUUGGGUCUGUUCGACCCUUAAAAUUUUACAUGAUCUGAGUUUAAACCGGUGUAAGCCAGGUUGGAUUCUAUCUUUAAAUGGAUUAUAUAUUUUAGUACGAAAGGACCAAAUAUGUAUUAUAUUAAUUG